GCAAACAGGAUUAGAUACCCUGGUAGUCCACGCCGUAAACGAUGUCUACUUGGAGGUUGUGCCCUUGAGGCGUGGCUUCCGGAGCUAACGCGUUAAGUAGACCGCCUGGGGAGUACGGCCGCAAGGUUAAAACUCAAAUGAAUUGACGGGGGCCCGCACAAGCGGUGGAGCAUGUGGUUUAAUUCGAUGCAACGCGAAGAACCUUACCUGGUCUUGACAUCCACAGAAGAAUCCAGAGAUGGAUUUGUGCCUUCGGGAACUGUGAGACAGGUGCUGCAUGGCUGUCGUCAGCUCGUGUUGUGAAAUGUUGGGUUAAGUCCCGCAACGAGCGCAACCCUUAUCCUUUGUUGCCAGCGGUUAGGCCGGGAACUCAAAGGAGACUGCCAGUGAUAAACUGGAGGAAGGUGGGGAUGACGUCAAGUCAUCAUGGCCCUUACGACCAGGGCUACACACGUGCUACAAUGGCGCAUACAAAGAGAAGCGACCUCGCGAGAGCAAGCGGACCUCAUAAAGUGCGUCGUAGUCCGGAUUGGAGUCUGCAACUCGACUCCAUGAAGUCGGAAUCGCUAGUAAUCGUGGAUCAGAAUGCCACGGUGAAUACGUUCCCGGGCCUUGUACACACCGCCCGUCACACCAUGGGAGUGGGUUGCAAAAGAAGUAGGUAGCUUAACCUUCGGGAGGGCGCUUACCACUUUGUGAUUCAUGACUGGGGUGAAGUCGUAACAAGGUAACCGUAGGGGAACCUGC
rnacentral:rRNA from 1 species